rnacentral:rRNA from 1 species
AGAGUUUGAUCAUGGCUCAGAUUGAACGCUGGCGGCAGGCCUAACACAUGCAAGUCGAGCGGUAGCACAGAGAGCUUGCUCUCGGGUGACGAGCGGCGGACGGGUGAGUAAUGUCUGGGAAACUGCCUGAUGGAGGGGGAUAACUACUGGAAACGGUAGCUAAUACCGCAUAAUGUCGCAAGACCAAAGUGGGGGACCUUCGGGCCUCAUGCCAUCAGAUGUGCCCAGAUGGGAUUAGCUAGUAGGUGGGGUAACGGCUCACCUAGGCGACGAUCCCUAGCUGGUCUGAGAGGAUGACCAGCCACACUGGAACUGAGACACGGUCCAGACUCCUACGGGAGGCAGCAGUGGGGAAUAUUGCACAAUGGGCGCAAGCCUGAUGCAGCCAUGCCGCGUGUGUGAAGAAGGCCUUCGGGUUGUAAAGCACUUUCAGCGGGGAGGAAGGCGGUGAGGUUAAUAACCUCAUCGAUUGACGUUACCCGCAGAAGAAGCACCGGCUAACUCCGUGCCAGCAGCCGCGGUAAUACGGAGGGUGCAAGCGUUAAUCGGAAUUACUGGGCGUAAAGCGCACGCAGGCGGUCUGUCAAGUCGGAUGUGAAAUCCCCGGGCUCAACCUGGGAACUGCAUUCGAAACUGGCAGGCUAGAGUCUUGUAGAGGGGGGUAGAAUUCCAGGUGUAGCGGUGAAAUGCGUAGAGAUCUGGAGGAAUACCGGUGGCGAAGGCGGCCCCCUGGACAAAGACUGACGCUCAGGUGCGAAAGCGUGGGGAGCAAACAGGAUUAGAUACCCUGGUAGUCCACGCCGUAAACGAUGUCGAUUUGGAGGUUGUGCCCUUGAGGCGUGGCUUCCGGAGCUAACGCGUUAAAUCGACCGCCUGGGGAGUACGGCCGCAAGGUUAAAACUCAAAUGAAUUGACGGGGGCCCGCACAAGCGGUGGAGCAUGUGGUUUAAUUCGAUGCAACGCGAAGAACCUUACCUGGUCUUGACAUCCACAGAACUUAGCAGAGAUGCUUUGGUGCCUUCGGGAACUGUGAGACAGGUGCUGCAUGGCUGUCGUCAGCUCGUGUUGUGAAAUGUUGGGUUAAGUCCCGCAACGAGCGCAACCCUUAUCCUUUGUUGCCAGCGGUUCGGCCGGGAACUCAAAGGAGACUGCCAGUGAUAAACUGGAGGAAGGUGGGGAUGACGUCAAGUCAUCAUGGCCCUUACGACCAGGGCUACACACGUGCUACAAUGGCAUAUACAAAGAGAAGCGACCUCGCGAGAGCAAGCGGACCUCAUAAAGUAUGUCGUAGUCCGGAUUGGAGUCUGCAACUCGACUCCAUGAAGUCGGAAUCGCUAGUAAUCGUAGAUCAGAAUGCUACGGUGAAUACGUUCCCGGGCCUUGUACACACCGCCCGUCACACCAUGGGAGUGGGUUGCAAAAGAAGUAGGUAGCUUAACCUUCGGGAGGGCGCUUACCACUUUGUGAUUCAUGACUGGGGUGAAGUCGUAACAAGGUAACCGUAGGGGAACCUGCGGUUGGAUCACCU